rnacentral:misc_RNA from 1 species
GUGGAAGCAAAAGAAAGUGCAAUGCAGAGCAAAAGCUUAAAAUUGCUUUUAGGACAAUUAAAAAAAAAAUCAUAUUGUAAUUUCACGCUUUAUCACCUAAGAGAUAAAAAUUUGUUUUUCAUCAAACCAAUGACAUGAUUUUGGCCAUUACUUCAUCACUUACCUCCACUAACGCAGUUAAUCAUCCAUAAUUAAAUCAAGAGGAUGCCCCAUCAGCAUAUUGUUACAGGAGGUGGAACAUAAUAACGACACAAGACCAUAAAGUAACCAUUUGAUGAAAAAUAAGUUUAUCCCUUAAAUGACAAAAUGCAAAACCACGUGAUAUUUUUUAAAAAUUAACCCAUAUCAUAACAGUAAACUUUUAUAGAUACCCUGUACGCUAGAAUAACUGAUGCUAGUUAUAUAUGACUAGAUCAUAUGAAAACAGAAUAGCUAAAGCAGUUCAUGUGCAUUUUAGGCACUAACCAAUCGAAGCAAUAACUCUCUUUUCAAAACCU